rnacentral:rRNA from 1 species
UCCGUAGGGUGAACCUUGCGGAGGGAUCAUUACACAAAUAUGAAGGCGGGCUGGAACCUCUCGGGGUUACAGCCUUGCUGAAUUAUUCACCCUUGUCUUUUGCGUACUUCUUGUUUCCUUGGUGGGUUCGCCCACCACUAGGACAAACAUAAACCUUUUGUAAUUGCAAUCAGCGUCAGUAACAAAUUAAUAAUUACAACUUUCAACAACGGAUCUCUUGGUUCUGGCAUCGAUGAAGAACGCAGCGAAAUGCGAUAAGUAGUGUGAAUUGCAGAAUUCAGUGAAUCAUCGAAUCUUUGAACGCACAUUGCGCCCUUUGGUAUUCCAAAGGGCAUGCCUGUUCGAGCGUCAUUUGUACCCUCAAGCUUUGCUUGGUGUUGGGCGUCUUGUCUCUAGCUUUGCUGGAGACUCGCCUUAAAGUAAUUGGCAGCCGGCCUACUGGUUUCGGAGCGCAGCACAAGUCGCACUCUCUAUCAGCAAAGGUCUAGCAUCCAUUAAGCCUUUUUUCAACUUUGACCUCGGA